UGCCCCCCAAUUUCCCCCCGCAGGGUGUCUGAAUUGCAGCCAUGUCGGGGAGCUGACAGCCCGGCUCGCCACCCUCGAGGCACAGGUGGCCCGGCUGGCGGUGGCCGAGCCCCCCAUGCCAGCAGCACCCAAAGGCAGCAGCCCGGGCAGGGGGCCGGAGGCCGGGCAGCUCUGGGGGUCCCCGGCCGCCCGUGGGAGCCCCGGGGAUGACGGGAGACCCGGCUGGAGGGGACCCCCCGGCCCCAAGGGCGAUGCGGGAGGACGGGGACCCUCAGGAAUUCCUGGAGUGAAGGGUCCAGUGGGGCCACCAGGUAAGGGGGGGACAGUGUGGGGGGGACCCCAGACUGGUGCCUGGCCCAGCCGAGCCCCCCUUUCCUGAUGGGCAGAUUUGGGGGGUCCAUGAAGCAGUCUGGGGGCUCGGAAGGGCUCCAGCACUGCACAGCCCCAAUCUUCACCCUCCUCUUCCUCCCUGCAGGUCCCCCCGGCCCCCCAGGACCACCUGGCCGGGAUGGAGCCAGGGGGCCACCAGGAGAGAAGGGGUCCCCCGGACCCCCCGGCCCCCCGGGCCCCCCUGCCCCUGUGGGGCCAGAGAUUCCCC
rnacentral:lncRNA from 1 species